UGGGGGAUAUUGCACAAUGGGCGAAAGCCUGAUGCAGCGACGCCGCGUGGGGGAUGAAGGCCUUCGGGCUGUAAACUUCUUUUGCUCUGAACAAGGCAUGCCUUUGGGGUGUGUUGAGUGUAGGGGUUGAUUAGCGCCGGCUAACUACGUGCCAGCAGCCGCGGUAAUACGUAGGGCGCGAGCGUUGUCCGGAAUUAUUGGGCGUAAAGGGCUUGUAGGUGGCUGGUUGCGUCUGUCGUGAAAGCUCAUGGCUUAACUGUGGGUUUGCGGUGGGUACGGGCUGGCUUGAGUGCAGUAGGGGAGGCUGGAAUUCCUGGUGUAGCGGUGGAAUGCGCAGAUAUCAGGAGGAAUACCGGUGGCGAAGGCGGGUCUCUGGGCUGUUACUGACGCUGAGGAGCGAAAGCGUGGGGAGCGAACAGG
rnacentral:rRNA from 1 species